rnacentral:lncRNA from 1 species
GAUUCUCCGAUUCUGAUUGUUCCCGUCUCUCUGUUGUUCGCUCUUGUUCCCCCCUGAAUCUUCCCAAUUGCAGCCAUUGUUCAUGGGAAUGCAAACUUAUUAAGAACCCAGUUCAGCUUCUCCAUGGUUGCGGAUCUAGUCAUCUACCUAUUUCUGAGCAAGGUUGCCAGCCGAACAUUUUAGAGUAUCUUGACCAGUUUCUAACAGUUGGGCUUCAUGUUGAAUACGAUGAAUCUCAAGAUUCUUACUUUUCUAGUUGCAGAGUGUGUAAAUCCAAGAAUGGUAUCUGUGGGUUCAAUUCUUCAGACCCGGAUAAGCGAUUCCUCUGUUUUCUGCCUAAAUCGCGAUUCUCGCCUCCAUGGAUUCACGAAGAUGAUGCAAAUCGAAUCGCGAUAUUAUGUUCAAUCUUCACGGUAUUAUGCUUAUUGCUUGCCGUUCUAGUUAUUGCAGCUAUUUACAGGUCUAAGCGUCUAAGAGCAUUAGCCUCGGAAGAAGACCCAACAAUACUAUUCCUUCACCGCCACCGCUCCGCGAGUCUACUUCCACCUGUAUUCACCUACGAGGAACUUGAAUCUUCAACAAAUCGGUUCGACCCAAAGCGAAAGAUUGGCGACGGCGGUUUCGGGUCUGUGUACUUAGGCCACCUCUACGAUGGCAGAGUUGUGGCUGUUAAAUACCUCCAUAAACAGCAACACCACCACGCGGCAGCUGCAGGCAAAGCAUUCUCUACCAAGUCAUUCUGCAAUGAAAUCCUGAUAUUAUCUUCAAUAGAUCAUCCAAAUCUGGUCAAGCUCUACGGGUACUGCAGCGACCCGAGAGGUCUACUUCUAGUAUAUGACUAUGUCCCGAAUGGCACUCUCGCUGACCAUCUGCACGGGCCAAAGGGCUUGCAUCGCAAAGGGCGUUUAACAUGGCAAGUAAGGCUCGACAUUGCAUUGCAAACGGCUCUAGCUUUAGAGUACUUGCAUUUCGCCGUCCAUCCGGCGAUCGUUCAUAGAGAUAUAACUUCUUCAAAUAUUUUUAUAGAGAAAGAUAUGAGAAUUAAAGUUGGAGACUUCGGACUUUCCAGGCUUCUGGUUUUUCCCGAAACGUCGUCAUCUUCGUCUGGUUACGUUUGGACCGGACCUCAAGGUACCCCUGGAUACUUGGAUCCGGAUUACCACCGGUCUUUCCGGUUAACCGAGAAAAGCGACGUGUAUAGUUUUGGGGUGGUUUUGUUAGAGUUGAUUUCUGGGUUGAAAGCGGUGGAUCAGAGUAGGGACAAAAGAGAGAUGGCGUUAGCGGAUUUAGUAGUAUCCAAGAUCCAAAUGGGUCAGCUCCAUCAAGUAGUGGACCCAGUAUUGAUUGUUGAAGGGGAGGCGAAGGAGAGUAUUUAUGCGGCGGCGGAGCUAGCGUUCCGCUGUGUGGCGGCGGAUAAGGAUGAUAGGCCAGAUUCGAAGGAGGUAGUGGAGGAGCUAGAGCGGAUCCGGAGUUGCACGCGUGGGUUUGGCGGGGCGAAUAAUUCGAAUGGAGGGGAAGGUGACGUGGCAAAAGGAUGAUUAAUUGAUUGAUUGAAGGAAGGGUUACGUGUAGUGUGAUGCUGUUUUUUUAAUAUCGUUUUUGCAGGUGGUGAUGCAUGUACUUUGAGUUCGAAUGAAAUUCCCAGAUCCUCAUGUCCUCCAUUUUCAUCCACUCCUCCUUUUCCUUUCUCUAUAUCGCCUGGCUGUGGUCAUCCUUCUUUUCAACUAAAAUGCUCUUUACCUUACUCUACUAUCUCCAUUAACGACUUUUCUUUCUCUGUUAUUGAAUUUGAACCCAACUCUUCCUCUCUCACUCUCUCUCCUCAAACCCAUCAUUCUUUUACAUCUACAGAAACUACAACUAACAGUAAUUGCUCUUCUCUUUCAAUUCCUACCCGUUCGAUCAAUCUCUCUGGUUCUCCAUUUCGAUUCUCCGAUUCUGAUUGUUCCCGUCUCUCUGUUGUUCGCUCUUGUUCCCCCCUGAAUCUUCCCAAUUGCAGCCAUUGUUCAUGGGAAUGCAAACUUAUUAAGAACCCAGUUCAGCUUCUCCAUGGUUGCGGAUCUAGUCAUCUACCUAUUUCUGAGCAAGGUUGCCAGCCGAACAUUUUAGAGUAUCUUGACCAGUUUCUAACAGUUGGGCUUCAUGUUGAAUACGAUGAAUCUCAAGAUUCUUACUUUUCUAGUUGCAGAGUGUGUAAAUCCAAGAAUGGUAUCUGUGGGUUC